AUUUGAGUUUGAAGUCCGUUAACUUCAAGUCUGAGAAACGGUUCAGGUGCACAGAAAAGACUUCGUUUCACUCCUUGGGGAAAUUGAGCCAAGAAUUGGGUCCAGCACUUCAAAACCUAUCGCGUUUUUCACCUAGACACAUAUUUGAAAUUGUAUAGAAAAACGUAAUCAGACAUGUAAAUUUAUGAUUGUGUAUAUACAUUCAGAAUAUUUGAAAUGUACAGAAUAGAUGAAGAGUUUUGUUUUACCA